UCACUAGGAAGGGUAGUGACCAGAGCAGGCAAGCCUGUCUGGUUGCCUUGGACACUUACUGAAAGAGGCUGGAGUUGUUGAUCAACCUGCCCAGGCCUCAUUUUCCCUCCUGAAAGCAGGAAGUCAUCCAUUGAACAAGCAACUCUUGUGUCCUUGUAUAAAGUCAACAUUUUCAAGCACUUCUCUACUGAGUUGCUCAUCCAACCUGCUGACCUUUGCAAGUAGCUCCAGUUUGCUUAAUGCUGGCCUUGACCUAUCUUCAAGACAGAAAUAGUUUCCUCUUCUCUCUCUCUUCCGAUCAAAGAAGGACAGAAAUUGAAAUGGGAAGAAUGAUUAAUGAAGCUGAAAAAUGUCAGCUCAGAGAGGUGAAGCCCUACUGAUGUCGAAAAGAAAGAGAAGAAACAGAAGGAAAAAGAGAACAUAACACAGCAGCUCCCCUCAAUAUGUUGGGGUCCAGGUUGGAAUCCGGGUGGAGCACAUGAGAAAGCAGACACCCUCCCAGCCACCAGGUUCCAGAUGCUAACAUGAUGCCAAACAGACUUCCCUGGACAGAAGACCCCACCAAUGUGUCCUGGAGCCCAGCUUCCCCAGAGUCCCGCCCCACUAGGGAAAGAGAGAGACAGGCUGGGAGUAUGGAUCGACCUGUCAACGCUCAUGUUCAGCGGAGAAGCAAUUAGAGAAGCCAGACCUUCCACCUUCUGCAUCCCACAAUGACCUUGGGUCCAUACUCCCAGAGGGUUAAAGAAUAGGAAAGCUAUCAGGGGAUGGGAUGGGAUACGGAGUUCUGGUGGUGGGAAUUGUGUGGAGUUUUACCCCUCUUUUUUUUUUUUUCCUCCUCCAGGGUUAUUGCUGGGCUCGGUGCCUGCACCAUGAAUCCACCGCUCCUGGAGGCCAUUUUUUUCCCCUUUUGUUGCCCUUGUUGUAGCUUCGUUGUGGUUAUUAUUAUUGCCCUUGUUGACGCAAUUCGUUGUUGGAUAGGACAGAGAGAAAUGGAGAGAGGAGGGGAAGACAGAGAAGGGGAGAGAAAGAUAGACAC